rnacentral:SRP_RNA from 10 species
GCCAGGUGUGGUGGUGCAAACCUGUGAUCCCAGCUACUCGGGCGGCUGAGGUGGGAGGAUCACUUGAGCCCGGGAGGCGAAGGCUGCAGUGAAGAACCAUGAUCACACCACUGCACUUCAGCCUGGGUGACAGAGUGAGACCCUGUGUUAAAAAAAAAAAAAGGGUCUUGCUCUGUUACCCAAACUGGAGUGCAGUGGUGUGAUUUCGGCUCACUGCAGCCUCCAUCUCCUGGGAUCCAGCAAUCCUUCCACCUCC